GAUGAACGCUGGCGGCGUGCCUAAUACAUGCAAGUCGAGCGAACAGACUAGUAGCUGGCUCCUCGUACGUUAGCGGCGGGUAGGUGAUUAACACGUUGAUAACCUACCUAGGAUACUUGGAUAACUUCGGGAAACCUGAGCUAAGACCGGAUAUUAUAUUGAGCCUGAUGGUUGAAUGGUUUAAGGCGUUUGUGCUGGCACUUAGACAUUGAUCCGCGCGGCAUUAGCUAGUUGUUAAGGUAACGGCUUACCAAGGCAACGAUGCGUAGCCGACGUGAGAGAGUGAUCGGCCACACUGGAACUGAGCCAGGGUCCAGGCUACUACGGGAGGCCGCAGUAGCCAACCUUCCGCAACAGGCGAAAGCAUGGCGGAGCAACGGCGAGCGAGACAUGACGGUCUUCGGAUCGUAAAAAUCUGUUAUUAGGGAAGAACCAAUGUGUACGUAAACAUGCACGAAUUGACGGUACCUACUCAGAAAGCCACGGCUAACUACGUG
rnacentral:rRNA from 1 species